AAGAGGGGUCAAAAUGUCAAAAUUUCAGCUUCCUCGACGGCUCGACGCCAUGGCGCGCCGCCGCGGCCCGCGGCCCAAGCCGCCAUUAUCCGCUCGACGAACGUCGCCGCGUCGCGCUCUUCCCGGGGGCUCUCUCUUUUGCCGGUCUCUGUAGGGCUCCACUAAUGGCGAAAACGCGGCGCGGCACGUCAGUCGCCAAGGGUUCGGGAGAUAAGAGGCCAUCCACUUAUCCACCCUAGCCUCCUCUGUAGGGAAGACCCCCGCCGAACGCUGCGCCGGUCGUCGCCGGAGUCCGGGCUCAGCAGAUCGACCCCCCGUAGAGUCAUUAAGGAAAGGGUUUGAGUGCUCAGAUGGGGUGAGAAGAAGCUAUCCAAGGCGGCGCAGACGUUGUAUCGGUUCCGUACUAUCUCUCUCUUUUAGCAAUUGGUGGUAUUUCUUUUGGUAAUACUAUUGCGGGACUUCGGGAUACUAUUGCUGUGGUAUCGCAACGUUUGGACCAGGUGGCACAGGAGUUUUUCACCCAGGAGCAUGGGUGGCGAUCUAGUCUACAGAUUGAUAGUCACUAGUUUCUGUGUUUUGUGAUGAGGAAGUCUUCUUAGGUCCAGUUUUUUGGCUGUGUGCAUUCUAUGCAAAGGCCGGGGGUAGACUCAGUUGGAAUGUAUCAUCUUGGUGUAUUUAACCGAGUCUUAAUAAAGCUUCCAUUAUUUAAAAGUUU